rnacentral:rRNA from 1 species
AUGCGGAAGAAAGAUUUUCCGCAACAUGACUGCAGAGAUAGUACUAAAUUUGUUGCUGGAGAUAGUUUUGUUAAUGGAGGGUUCAGAAAUUGGAAUAUGAAAGCGAGAUUUCGUAAGCAUGCUGGUGAGGUGAAUAGUGCUCAUUGUGAAGCCGAAGAGAAAUAUAAUUUGUUCAUCAAACCUAAAGCAUCAAUCCACGAGGCCAUUGCCUCACAGACCACACAGUACAAGGCUGAGUAUCUACCUCGAUUAAAAUGGUCAUUUGAGUGCAUAAAAUUUAUUUUGCAUCAGGGGUUGGCUUUUUGUGGUCAUGAUGAGGGAAAGGAUCCGACAAAUAAAGGAAAUUUCCGAGAACUUUUAUAAUGGCUGGCAGGCAAAUUUGAAGAAGUUAAUAAGGUUGUUUUAAGAAAUGCUCCACAGAAUUGUUAGAUGAUAGAUCACAAAAUUCAAAAACAGCUUAUUGGUUCUUGUGCUCGUGAAACAACAAAAUUUGUCAUAGAGGAACUUCUUGAUGAGUGUUUCGCAAUUCUUGCUGAUGAAUCUAGUGAUGUAUACCAACAAGAACAAUUAGCUCUUUGCUUGCGAUUUGUCAAUAAAAUAGGGGAGCCGGUUGAAAGGUUUCUUGGUCUUGCUCAAGUUGCGGAUACUACAUCAUUAACUCUUAAAGAAGCAAUUCAGACCUUGCUUAUGAAGUAUCAAUUGCCGAUAUCCAAGCUACGUGGGCAAGGGUAUGACAGUGCUAGUAACAUGAAGGGUCAUGUUAAUGGUUUGAAGAAACUAAUUAUGGAAGAUUCUCCUUCUGCUUAUUAUGUUCAUUGCUUGGCCUAUCAGCUUCAACUAACCCUUGUAGCUGUUGCUAAGGAGAAUAUUGGUUGCAAAUGGUUCUUUGGGCACCUUGUAGAUUUGUUGAAUGUUCUUGGGAUGUCAUGUAAAAAGAUCUGCAUGCUUCACGUAGCUCAGGCUGAGUAUAUGAUUGAAGCAUUGAAGCAAGGUGAAAUUGAAGCUGGCCAAGGUUUGAAUCAAGAGAUGGGCCUAGCAAGGCCCGGUGAUACACGCUGGCGAUCUCACUACAAAACGGUAAUGCAUGUUAUGUCUUUGUAUCCUUCAAUCAUGAAAGUUCUCUUUAGGCUCGGGAAAGAAAGUAAUUCGGCAGAGGCUUUAGGAGCUCAAACAAUGUUGGAAGUAUUUAAAUCAUUUUUGUUUGUUUUCAUGCUGCACUUGAUGAAUGAAAUAUUUGGGUACACAAGUGACUUAAGCAACGCUUUGCAAAAGAGCGAUCAAGAUAUUGUGAAUGCAGUUGAUCUUCUUGAGUUCACAAAGGUACAACUGCAAGUUCUAAGAGAAGAUGAUGGAUGGAAAGAAUUCCUUGAAGUCACUUCUUUUUGUGUGAAGCACAAUGUCAGAUGUGUUGACAUGGAUGGGAAGUACAAGCCUAUACAAAGAGCAAGAGUGUUCUAUAAAAAUGCCAUGAAUUACCACCGUCUCCAUGCUGAUAUGUUUUUGGGUGUCAUUGAUAGGCAACUUCAAGAGCUUAAUAACAGGUUUGAUGAGGUGAACACAGAGCUACUUAGAUGUAUGGCAAGUCCAGUCAAGUCAUUUUCUCCUCUUAAUAUUGAUGACCUGGUUAAGCUUGAUGGGUUCUAUCCUCAUGAUUUUGACUUUGAAGAAAUGCACCAACUUCCUAUUCAAUUGAAUCUCUAUAUUAGUGAUGUGAGUCAUGAUGAAAACUUCGCAAAAUUGAGAAGUCUAGCAGAGUUGUCUAUGAUGCUUGUUAGAACAGGGAGGGCUCUUCGGUAUGAUAUUGUUUACAAACUUCUCAAAUUGGUGCUAGUCCUUCCUGUUGCAAUAGCCAGUGUUGAGAGGGUCUUUUCAUCAAUGAACUAUAUAAAAAACAAGCUAAGAAGCAAGAUGGGGCAAAAAUACUUGAAUGAUUGCUUGGUCACAUUCAUUGAAAGGGAUUUCUUCUUGCAAGUUAAGGAUGAGGAUAUUAUCACUCAUUUUCAAAGCAUCAAGGAUCGCAAAGUUACCGUGUGA